UACAGAGGUCUCAAGCGUUGUUCGGAUUCAUUGGGCGUAAAGGGUGCGUAGGCGGCGCGGUAAGUCGGGUGUGAAAUCUCGGAGCUUAACUCCGAAACUGCAUUCGAUACUGCCGUGCUUGAGGACUGGAGAGGAGACUGGAAUUUACGGUGUAGCGGUGAAAUGCGUAGAUAUCGUGAGGAAGACCAGUGGCGAAGGCGGGUCUCUGGACAGUUCCUGACGUGAGGCACGAAAGGUCAGGGGGAGCAAAACGGGG
rnacentral:rRNA from 1 species